rnacentral:rRNA from 1 species
GAUCAUGGCUCAGGAUGAACGCUGGCGGCGCGCCUAACACAUGCAAGUCGAACGGCACCCCUCUCCGGAGGGAAGCGAGUGGCGAACGGCUGAGUAACACGUGGAGAACCUGCCCCCCUCCCCCGGGAUAGCCGCCCGAAAGGACGGGUAAUACCGGAUACCCCCCGGGGCGCCGCAUGGCGCCCGGGCUAAAGCCCCCGACGGGAGGGGAUGGCUCCGCGGCCCAUCAGGUAGACGGCGGGGUGACGGCCCACCGUGCCGACAACGGGUAGCCGGGUUG